ensembl:snoRNA
GCAUUCAUUUUUGCUGUUUUUUAUCUGUGUCUGACUGCAGUGUCCAUCUGUAUUUUGCAUUCAGAUCUAACCUCACAAUAAGCAGCUAGGGAGUAAACUGGUAUCAUAGUGCUGGUUUAGUGUUGUCUUUUCAGACAUAUCUACCUCUGGCCAGACUUCAAAUCCUCAAUCUCCU